AUACGUAGGGUGCAAGCGUUAAUCGGAAUUACUGGGCGUAAAGCGUGCGCAGGCGGUUUUUUAAGCCAGAGGAGAAAUCCCCGGGGGCAAACUGGGAACUGCCUUUGUGACUGCAAGGAGAGAGUACGGCAGAGGGGGAUGGAAUUCACCGGGUCGCAGAGAAAAGCGUAGAUAUGCGGAGGAACACCGAAGGCGAAGGCAAUCCCCUGGGCCUGUACUGACGCUCAUGCACGAAAGCGUGGGGAGCAAACAGGAUUAGAUACCCCGGUAGUCCACGCCCUAAACGAUGUCAACUGGUUGUUGGGUCUUCAUUGACUCAGUAACGAAGCUAACGCGUGAAGUUGACCGCCUGGGGAGUACGGCCGCAAGGUUGAAACUUAAAGGAAUUGACGGGG
rnacentral:rRNA from 1 species